AGAGAGAGAGAGAGAAUGAGAUACAGAGAGGGACAGGUAGAGAGAGAGAGAGAUACAGAGACAGAGAUACAGAGAGAGACAGGUGGAGAGAGAGAGAGAGAGAGAUGAGAUACAGAGAGGGACAGGUAGAGAGAGAGAGAGAGAAUGAGAUACAGAGAGGGACAGGUAGAGAGAGAGAGAGAGAGAGAGAGAGAGAGACAAGUGGAGAGAGAGAGACAUGGAGAGAAAGACAGAUGCAGAGAUACACAGAGAGAUGGACAGAAAGAUAGAUACAGAAAAAGAGAGGCAGGUACUGUAGAUAAAUACAGAGAGAGACCGGUAGAGAGAGAGAGAUAGAGAUAGAGAGAGAGAUACAGGUAGAGACUGAAAGACAGACGGAGGGAGAGAGACCGAGGCCGUGGAUGUCUGAAUUGUCAGUAGGUGAGAAAAGCCGGAUGGUGUACUGCUUCCGGCGGGAUUUUGCAGCGUGCAACCGACGGACACUGGACACUGCACGAGUCAAAAAUCCCACCGGUGCGGACGAGCUCAGGAAAUAAAUGUCGGAGGACAGCGUCGGCUCUUUAAGUAUUAAACCUCGGUUAAACGGGAAUUAUUUAACAAUACCCGAAUACAUCAUCGACUUAUUGAAGGGUUAAAGAAGUAAACGUUAAAAUCUUUUUUGUGAUCUCCAUCA
ensembl:lncRNA